GGAAACAGUCUGCAGUCUGACCAUGGGAGGAUGUGUUGGGAGAUACUGGCAGGGCUGGGAGGACACACAGAGCCGAGGCUCGUCCAGGAACGGUGGACGAGGAGGACGUAAUGAGCCUCUGAAGAAAGAUCGUCCCAAGUGGAAGAGCGACUACCCGAUGACAGAGGGCCAGCUACGGAGCAAGCGGGAUGAGUUCUGGGACACAGCGCCGGCCUUCGAGGGCCGUAAAGAGAUCUGGGACGCCCUGAAAGCCGCCGCUGUGGCACUGGAGUGUAACGACCACGAGCUGGCCCAGGCUAUAGUGGACGGAGCCAGUAUCACACUGCCACAUGGUACUCUCACAGAGUGUUACGAUGAACUCGGUAACCGCUACCAGCUGCCCGUCUACUGCCUGGCUCCACCUGUCAACCUCAUCUCAGAACGCAGCGAUGAGGAUCCCAGCGACAGCCCCGAACCCCCCGUAGCACCCAAGAAGGAAUUUCAGCUCAAGGUGAGACUGUCCACAGGUAAGGACCUGCGCCUCAGCGCCAGCAUGGCCGACACCAUAGGGCAGCUUAAAAAGCAGCUGCAGGCCCAGGAGGACAUCGACGCCACCCAUCAGCGCUGGUUCUUCUCUGGCAAGUUGCUCACGGACAAGACGCGGCUGCAAGACACUAAGAUCCAGAAGGACUUUGUCAUCCAGGUCAUCAUCAACCCGCAGGCCCUCCGAGCCCCCAAGGCGUCACCCGCCUUAUCUGAAUAACUGAGAACAAAGAGGAUAACGUGAGGGCUGACGCUGUGGGUGACAGACACUAAAGGACCAGAGGUGCCUCCUAAUGCUGGAUUGAAAUAAAACUGAACUGCGGAGGUAACUACAUGAGGGAGAAACUCUUAAGUGCUGCUUUCUUUCAUCUAUCAAGUGUCAUUGUAUUUUUUUUUGGGUAUGUUGGGUUGUUCUUAAAGUGAAUCCAGUCACCACACUAACUUGGGAGAUCCUCUUCCCCUUGUCUCUUUGAAGCAUUGCAAAUUAAAGCAGAACCUAUGCUAAUGAGCAGCCUUUUCAAACACAUCCAGCAUGUGCAUAUCGUGCUGCACAUACAAAGACUCGGCCUCUGCCCUUUUUGUCUGCACUAACGGUAACUAAGUGCCAAUGGAAGAAAUGCAGAAGUGUUUGUGUUGGUUUCAAAGCACAUUUCUACUAGGACGCCGAUGGACUCCGCACUGCAUUCCUCGUCUCCUCCACAGAUACAAGAGGGGAAGAAUGAAGUGGUUUGACUUCCUGUAGGAAAAGCCAAAGGUGUCCCAACAUUAACGAUGGCUCUGCUCUGUCCCAGUGAAGCCAUUUCAGCGCGCCCACAUGCACAACACCAGGACCCCGACACUGAGGCAGCUAGAUGGAAUUCAGCCAUCAUCCAUUUUAUUAUUUACACCCGUGCUUUUUCUUACCGUCGGACCGCAAAAUGCCCGUGAUUCUAGCCGGUUAGACUUCGACAGCGCUACUCUAACAGGUGCCGCGGAAUUGGCGGCGGAGUGAGACGCCAGUUCAACAGAGGCGGCACAUCCCCGCGUGGUCCUGAGGUCCAACUAAGCGACGCGAAACUAGCUGCGAGUGGACCCUGGGUGCGCGGCCAAACCCUUGAGGGGCACGAAUUAGCUCCUAGUGCAG